AAUAGAUACCCGGGUAGUCCAUGCCGUAAACGUUGGGCACUAGGUGUGGGGCUCAUUCCACGAGUUCCGUGCCGCAGCAAACGCAUUAAGUGCCCCGCCUGGGGAGUACGGCCGCAAGGCUAAAACUCAAAGGAAUUGACGGGGGCCCGCACAAGCGGCGGAGCAUGCGGAUUAAUUCGAUGCAACGCGAAGAACCUUACCAAGGCUUGACAUGCACGGGAAGCCACCAGAGAUGGUGGUCUCUUUGGACACUCGUGCACAGGUGGUGCAUGGUUGUCGUCAGCUCGUGUCGUGAGAUGUUGGGUUAAGUCCCGCAACGAGCGCAACCCUCGUCCCAUGUUGCCAGCGGGUUAUGCCGGGGACUCAUGGGAGACUGCCGGGGUCAACUCGGAGGAAAGUGGGGAUGACGUCAAAUCAUCAUGCCCCUUAUGUCUUGGGCUUCACGCAUGCUACAAUGGCCGGUACAAAGGGCUGCGAUACCGUAAGGUGAAGCGAAUCCCAAAAAGCCGGUCUCAGUUCGGAUUGGGGU
rnacentral:rRNA from 1 species